rnacentral:rRNA from 1 species
GACGAACGCUGGCGGCGUGCUUAACACAUGCAAGUCGAGCGGUAAGGCCCUUUCGGGGGUACACGAGCGGCGAACGGGUGAGUAACACGUGGGUGACCUGCCUUUAGCUCUGGGAUAAGCCUGGGAGACUGGGUCUAAUACCGGAUAUGACUCCAUGAUGCAUGUUGUGGGGUGGAAAGCCUUGUGCGGCUGGAGAUGGGCCCGCGGCCUAUCAGCUUGUGGUGGGNGAUGGCCUACCAAGGCGACGACGGGUAGCCGGCCUGAGAGGGCGACCGGCCACACUGGGACUGAGACACGGCCCAGACUCCUACGGGAGGCAGCAGCGGGGAAUAUUGGACAAUGGGCGCAAGCCUGAUCCAGCCAUGCCGCGUGAGUGAUGAAGGCC